rnacentral:rRNA from 1 species
GAUGAACGCUGGCGGCGUGCUUAACACAUGCAAGUCGAACGAUGAACCUCACUUGUGGGGGGAUUAGUGGCGAACGGGUGAGUAACACGUGAGUAACCUGCCCUUGACUCUGGGAUAAGCCUGGGAAACCGGGUCUAAUACUGGAUACGACCUUCUGGCGCAUGCCAUGUUGGUGGAAAGCUUUUGUGGUUUUGGAUGGACUCGCGGCCUAUCAGCUUGUUGGUGGGGUAAUGGCCUACCAAGGCGACGACGGGUAGCCGGCCUGAGAGGGGGACCGGCCACACUGGGACUGAGACACGGCCCAGACUCCUACGGGAGGCAGCAGUGGGGAAUAUUGCACAAUGGGCGCAAGCCUGAUGCAGCGACGCCGCGUGAGGGAUGAAGGCCUUCGGGUUGUAAACCUCUUUCAGGAGGGAAGAAGCCGGCUUUUGGGUUGGUGACGGUACCUGCAGAAGAAGCGCCGGCUAACUACGUG